UUAGUUGCAAACUUUGUGAAGUGUGGUAUACUAACUAUGUCGCCGCAAGGUGGCUAUAGUGAUAAACGGCUUACGUAAUAGGCUGUAUGGACCAGGGGGCAGUACCCUGCGCCUCCGCCAAAGAUUUGUUUUGGGGGCGAAAUAGGUUCGACAUACUGCGGUAAAGGUAUUUCUUUCACUCGGCAUUGUACCAUCGUUAUCGGGCUACUAAAAAUAAAUGCUAACCUAAACAGGAAAGGCAGACUCGUACGCAACCUUCGCAGGAGGCGUAGGGCAAAGAAGGCCGCUUAAACUACCCGUAUGGGCUUUGAGCAUCUUGUUUGCUUGCUGUUUUCGUAAGAAAGCAGUAGAGUAGCGGUUUGGGGGACCCCGGGCAACAGAAUUCCCCCGCU
rnacentral:tmRNA from 1 species